AGCGAACGCUGGCGGCGUGCCUAACACAUGCAAGUCGAACGUGAAAGGGAGCAAUCCCAAGUAAAGUGGCGUACGGGUGAGUAACACGUAGGUAAUCUACCCCAGAAUCUGGAAUAACCGGCCGAAAGGCUGGCUAAUACUGGAUAGAGCGACGGAAUCCGUAAUUGGGUUUUUCGGGAAAGGGAGCCUGUAAAAAGGCCUUCGUUCUGGGAUGAGCCUGCGUCCCAUCAGCUAGUUGGUGAGGUAAAAGCUUACCAAGGCAAUGACGGGUAGCUGGUCUGAGAGGACGAUCAGCCACGCUGGAACUGAAACACGGUCCAGACUCCUACGGGAGGCAGCAGUGGGGAAUCUUGCGCAAUGGACGAAAGUCUGACGCAGCAACGCCGCGUGAGUGAAGAAGGCCUUCGGGUUGUAAAGCUCUGUCGAGUGGGACGAAAAUGCUUGGAGUUCACAGCUCCAGGAACUGACGGUACCACUAAAGGAAGCACCGGCUAACUCCGUG
rnacentral:rRNA from 1 species